rnacentral:tRNA from 1 species
GUCAGGAUGGCCGAGCGGUCUAAGGCGCCAGACUCAAGGUGAAUUACCUUGCCCGUUCGAACGGGUUAAAAUGGGGCUUCUGGUCCUCUCUGAGGGCGUGGGUUCGAAUCCCACUUCUGACA